UCGGGUCUCCACCUUGUUGUUGGUGAGGGGGCUUACACUCGAACCUUAAGCAGGCUAGUUUUCCCAGCUACCAGCUAAGGUUUGAGCAAACUAAGAGAGGCCCACCCCUAUGAAUAUAUGGAAGAAUUAACUAAAUGAAUACAACCAUAGCGGGGAUAUACGCUAAACGGUCGGUAGAAGUCACGGCUGCCGGCUUAGGCUUUGCUUCGCGGUCUCAAUACCGAGAGGAGGAGUCGCCAGUGACAACAUUUUUUCAUAUUAACUUUUACUUUUUAUCUCACCUGCUUAUAUUUCUAAAUCUUUUUCUUUUAUCUUUUUCUUUUUUCCCUUUUUGUUUUCUUUUCUUUUCUUUUUCUUUAUUUUCCUUUAGAACUGAAACAUAUAAGCAGAGUAACGAAUUUUUUAUUGAUACCAAAAUGGAAAAAGCAACGAAACUUCAGCUAACUGAGGAGGAGGAGAAUUUACUUCUCGAUCCGUUCGCAAAUCUGGACAUGGAGGACGGAGCCAGCGCGAUAGACGUCGAUGAUAGUGCCAGCAUGAUAUCAUCCGUUGCGAGCUCCAACUUCUCGAACUCGUCAAGGCGGAGUAGAAUCUCUACCUGUAAGAGAACAAUCCGGAGGUUAGGAAAGCUGGACUGGGGCCAGAUGUCCGAGGAAGAUAGAAUGAGGCUGCACAAUGCUCGUGCCUUCAUGGACAGGGAGGGCUUGGGAAAAGCUAGACUUUCACCAAACCCCCCCUCUUCAAAAGGUCCGAGUAUUAAGACCGUGAUGGGACCACCUGCUCCCCUUGUUUCAAAACAAGGGAACGGGGACAUCCCAUCUACGUCAGGUGCUAUCGCCUCGACAGCAGAUGAGCAAUCGUCUGGAAGGGAGAAAACGGACCUGAUCGUGAGGACACACGUCGUUGCGUCUGACAGCUCAUCAGCCAAAAAAGUCGUAUCGUCUGGCGGUGCGAGUGUUAAAGCAGAUGGGAAAGGCACAAAUGGUGAGGGGACGGAUAAGAUGGGGUGCAAGGAUAACUUGGUGGGCCAUAGCCCACAGGUUACCCAAAACACCACCAUCAAAUCUGUAACCGAGGGGACGGGUUUAAUGGGGUGCAAGGAUAACUUGGUGGGCCGUAGCCCACAGGUUACCCAAAUCACCACCAUCAAAUCUGUAACCGAGGGGACGGGUAAGAUGGGGUGCAAGGAUAACUUGGUGGGCCGUAGCCCACAGGUUACCCAAAACACCACCAUCAAAUCUGUAAACGUAAACCGUAACCUUUCUUCUGCCAAAUCAGUCCUACCGCCUGGUGGUACGACUGGUAAAGUUGGUGAGUUAGACAAUACUGUCGAGGGAAAAGGUAAGGUGGGGUGCGAAGCUAACUUGGUGGGCCGUAGCCCACAAGAUAACCGAAACACUACCACCGAACCCGAUCCCGCAAACCAAUCGAUCAAUUCGACGUUCCAGAGCCUAGCUACGGUCAUACACAAAAAGACCAGGGCUAGAGCAUUAGAUGAGAAUGAGAUUCGUCGCCGUCAGAAUCGUAACGCUGAGAGGAUUGUCCGUCGCUUUGCCAAAAGGUCUCCCGAGUCCCUUACGGCAAAAGAGCGAGUAGCACUGGACAAAUCAAAUCAACGUUUACGUGCAGCGGCAGAACAGGGAACUGCGGGCACUCCUAGCACCUCCAAAAGAGCUAGGAACGAUGCCAAUUCACCCACCAGCUCUUCACCUAAUAAGACGAAGAAGAAGCGCAGAACCUCUCAGGUUAGCGUAAAAGGCCACCAUGUCGCCAUAGCCGAUUAUGGUAAGCCUUCACGCAAACUGACUGAAGACGAAUGGCAUCUCCUUGAACUAAGGAUCCUGGAGCAAGUCAAUGAGGCUAUCGUCAAGAGCUGGACGGUUCCACUCUUCGGUAACCUUAAGACUGUCCAUGGUUUCAAAGUGAUGCAUUGUGAGAAUGAUAUGACUCUCGAAUGGCUUCGGGAGUUCAUACAAAAAACGUCAGCUCCAUGGCAAGGCGCCGAAUUGCGUCUGAUCGACGUAAAGGAGAUAAAAGAUCUCAACAGACCUCUUGGAAGGCUGUUAGUCAAAGGCCCGACCCUUCCCAACGAACGGCUUGAGAGAUACAUCCUAUCUUUGAAUAGUGAUCUCUUGAGCAGAGAGUGGGAAGUGGUCAAGAAUGAAAGAACGGAUGAUGGCACCGAAGUGGUGGUAAGAUUGAGCCACAAAUCUUUACCACUCCUGAGGAAGGCUGACUUCAAGAUACGCGUUGGAAUCACUAGGUGCAAACUUAGGUUGAUUCGCAACGAUAGAAAACAGGUUAGUAAAGCGAUGAACUUAAACUUUAUUAUAUAAAUGGAAUUGAAAAUUUUACAAAUCAAUCUUCAUCAUAGUAAAGCCGCAACCGCUAACCUUGUCUACCUCAUGGAGAGUAGACAAUACGACGUAGCCCUGAUACAGGAACCCUGGGUUGUAAGAGGGAAUAUCAAGGGUCUACAAUCUAAAGAACUACAGCUGUACAAGUCUAAUCUUGACAGUCAAAAUACAACACUGACCAGACCACGGUAAGAUUGGAGCGAGAUGGGCUCCCAAUGCUCAUCCUCUCGUCUACUUAUAUGCCGUAUGACGGUACAGAAGGACCACCAGCAGAUAUCACUGAAACGUUGGUAUCUUUUGCAAGUAAGAAUAAAUUUGAUAUUAUUUUAGGUUGUGAUUCUAACUCACACCAUAUGCAAUGGGGUAGCACUGAUACUAAUACCAGGGGCGAGUCCCUUUUUGAAUUUAUUAUCGAGAAAAACUUGCUCGUAGCUAAUAGAGG